rnacentral:lncRNA from 1 species
AAACAUGGCCGCCCGAGAGGGACCGCACCGCCACCACCUGCGACAGAGACGGUCGUUUCGUGAGAGGAAGGACGUCCUGAAUGAGCUAGAUGACCGUGAGCUGGUGAAGAGGUAUUGGCAGGAUCCUGCUGGUAUCAUUUUCGUGACAAAUUUGGUGCGGGAAAGGCUGAAGAGACCAACAAGGCCUCUCUCCCCGAGAUGCAAGUUAUCUUCACUGCGGUACCUCGCUAUAGGAAAGAUGCAGCAGUGCAGCACUGAUGACUUGGGGCCCUCACAACAGACCAUCAGCAGGAUCAUCAGUGAUACAGUGAUACAAUGCCAUCCUCUCUUAAUUCAUAAGAUUUUUAGUCACCCAACUGGAAACUCAGUGAAGGAAGGAGGAGUUUCUGCAGAUUGCUGGCUUCCCUGAAGUGAUCGGUGGCAUUGAUGGAACGCACGUAAUGAUUGUGGCUCCUAGAGAGUAUAAGGUAGAGUUUGUCAACAGGAAGAGAUACUACAGCAUCAACGUGCAGUUUGUGUUUGAUGCUUGAUACCACAUUAUUGAUGUGGUUGCAAAGUGGCCGGGAUCGGUUCACGAUGCAAGAAUACUUGUUCAAAGUGGACUCUGCACGAUAUUUGACAACGGCAUCGUCCCAGCUGGGUGUCACUUACAGGAGAUAGUGACUAUCCCAGCAAGAAGUGGCUACUGACUCCAUACCUCAGACCACAGCCUGGAGCACAGUCUUCUUAUAACAGGGCCCACAAGAAAACCCGCAGCAUUGUUGAGAGGCAUCGGGCAGCUGAAGCGACAUUUUCACAUGCUACACAGUGAGAUCCGAGUUGGUCCUCCAUCCAAGGUCUGCCAAAUUGUAGAGGUUUGUGCACUGCUGCACAACAUCUGCAAAGCAAGAAACAUCAUUCUUCCUGAGGAAGAAGAACAUCUUGCUGCAGCCGAGGAUGGAGGCAACGAGGAGCGACUUUUAGCACAGAAAGUUCAAAGUCGCCAUGAAGUAAUCCUUUACAGGGAUGAAUUUGUUGUGCUUCACUUCAACAUUGAUGAGUGAUGAGACACCAGUGUCAUGACUGCUGAGAUUGGUGUUAUUCUCAUGUGGAUGAUCUCCUCCUCAUCCACAAACACCAGUGAUGUACCAGGCAAGUCUGGCCCCUGUUGGUGCUGCAAGUGGUGUGGCAGGUGCCUCCUCCUCAACACCCACUGCCUCGGUCACCACUUCUCUCUGUUGGGCUGCCUCUGCCACUUCCCCAGCAUCAUCUGCUGCCUGCACACUGCUGGCAUCAUUAGUUCUAACUUCAGAAACUAAGCUGAUAAUGUUUUUGGUUUUAUUGCUAAGGACAAAAGUAACAGAAACCAGUAAAUCUAGCUAAGGGUA